CCCUAGCAUCUCCGGGCAUUCGGGAGGAUCCGAUUAUAAACACGUGCCCAGGGCGCGGGCCUCCACGCUUGAAUCAGAUCAGUUGCUGGCAUUUGAGGCCCAAAGAGGUUAAAUCACUUGCCCAAGGUCUCACAACUGCUCUAAGGCCAUGGGCAC